GUAAGUAUUGUGUUUUGGUUAUUUAUCAGCAUAACAUAAAACCAGAUAAAGAGCAAAUAACUGAGAUGGCUCUUAGAGUAAUGUUCAACUGUUUAAGUGUUUCAGUAGAUCACUACAACUAAGCUGAUCUGGGCUUAGUACCUUGCAUUUCCUGGGAAGCUGCUGGACCGGCAUUAUUCUUGUUAGUUUCUUUUCCCUUUGUCUCCGUCUGGGAACAAAAGCAAACUCUUAAAAUACAUGUUUAAAGCCUGUUCCAAUGCCACUGGAAAACAGCUGAACAACUACUAUAAAAAGUAUUUUUUUUUUUGUGAUAAGAUGCAGUGGAAUAGUUAGUAUUACCCACACUAACACACCCUGGGUAAGAAAACAUGAAAUGGAAACACAGGCUACAAAGCAAGAACCAAAACUAAUGCUUUAAAUGAACUGGACAAAUUUGAAGUGCUGCAUCUUUGCUCCGCUGGUUACUGCUGUAUUUCUUUUCCCAUCAGACAAUACAGAUGAAAGCAUUCUGACAGAAGUGCAUACAAUGUUUGCUAGUAAAAAAAUCAGGGGACAUGAAAGUCAAGAGACUGGUACAAUGUGGAGGUAAUACAAGUUUUAAAGGACACUACUAAUUAAUUGGGGUACUUUUUCCUUUGCUGUUUAAAGCCCAAGAGGAUGAACUCAGCUGCAGUAUUCCUAUUCCCAUGCAAGUCUUAAAAGCCAGAGCAUGAAGUGCCAUGAUUCCAGUAAAGAAAACAGCAAAAAAUGAGUGAAUUUUGCAUCUCUCACUACUGCGUAUGUUGAGCAAUGGAUUUAAGACUUACUUUGGUAUUAGUGAUAUGAUCAUGAUCUGUGGGAUUCAUCUGCACAGAACUUGUAAAAAGCUGAGUAAGACAAAAGACAUCAAGUUUUAGGUAUCUCAGUGUUGCUAUUAAGAGUACAAGACCAUUGCUUCUGCAUGUGUGAGAACAACCCCUGAACUUAUUCUACCCUCUAUGAGGACUGGAGUAUAUUUACAGCAAGUCCUCCCGGCCCUGCCUAAAAUACGCAUGACGAAACUCUACAGGACCAUCUCGCUCCAGUUUGACAAUUCCAGAAUCAACAUGGACAACUUUACGGAAGCCAUCUUUAAAAAAAAUAAAAGAAAAACCUCAAAACCCACACUAAGAAAUUCCAAGUAUGCUGUCCCAGCUAUCCCGUUACCAAUUUUGAGGGUAAGACAGUAUCCUAGUUGCAGAGAACACAAGGCCACUGCCCAAAGUUAUAACUUAACUUUUAUGUACAGGAUUUAGAAUUGUGAUAGAAUGCAAAAAUCCAGGAACUUACACAUGUUUAACUGUCUGACAAAGCUUGCCAUGUUGUUAUGCUUGAAGUAUUUGGGAAGAAUCUCUUUUGCAAAUCUCUGUUCAUUCAACACCAAGAAACUCUUUCCAUUCUAAAAUGAGAGAGACACGUUAAGCUACUUAAAAACCAUAGCAGAAAACACACUGGGCUUUUAGAAUUAAUCACCAGAUUGGAAUGUUUCCUUUGUGCAUGCAGUACAUUACUGAUCUGCUUGCCUACAAUUUUCCAAAACAAAAAGUGUACAACCCUUGCAGUUGCAAAGCAACUGAGUACUAUCAAUUUACACCAUCACCUGUAUCUUAAGGGGAACGUCUCUAUUGUUACACACUGCUUUAUCAAGAUAUGAAACAAUCAUUAUCAGCAAUUAAGAUAAUUUCACUACAGAACAAUACAGAACUAUCAAUUUUGAACGUAAUUUUGAAGCCCUGGUAAAGAAUCUCAAUAAAGAACCUGAACAAGAAAAAAAUACCAACAAACAGCUGACAGUCCCAUCUGCUUUUCACUGUAAAAGCAUGAUUGGGUUGAUAAGACUUAUAGAGCAGAUGGAGCUGUCAAAGAGGUGAAGGUGUCCACUGGGUUUUGGAGUUACUGAAAAGGUAGUCACCUAAAGCAAGAUUCCCCUUCUGGAAUGCCAAUUAUGAGGGAAGAUUAUCUUUUAUUUAAUCCACAGGCUUUAACUAAAAUAGAAGGAUCAGCUCUUUGUUCUUCAAUGACUGCACUUCAUUUAACUACAGGGCAAGUAAUUGGCAGAAUGCAAAUUACCUACUUCAUAAUGGUUUAGGUUUUGUCUACACAUCCACAAUACUCUCACCCUGUAGUUAAUAAGAAGUCUUAUCUUCAACAAAUGUCAACACUUUUCAUACAUCUUCUUAAGAGGCCAUUUUAGUUUAAUGAGUCACUUUUCUUAUCCUCAAAUGCCAGCAGUUCUAUGAGCCCAAGAAGCUUGAAGAACCAACUAUAAGACCACAUGAAGGCUCUUGUCCAAAGGCGGGUGUCCUUGUUUCAGCUAAGACAGAAUUAAUUUUUUUUCUUAGUAGCUGGCAGAGUGCUGAGUUUUGGAUUCAGUGAGAGAAUAAUGUUGAUGGUUAGUUGGUGUUUUAGUUGUUGCUGAGCAGUGCUUACUUUAAGUCAAGGUCUUUUCAACUUCUCAAGUGCUGCCAGCAAGCAGGUGCACAAGAAGUUGGGAGGGUACAUGGCCAGGACAGCUGACCCACACUGGGCAAAGGGAUAUUCCACACCAGAGAACAUCAUGCCCAGUAUAUAAACUGCAGGAGUUAACCAGCAGGAGGGCCAACUGCUGUUUCUGGAUGGGCUGGGUACUGGCCUGCAGGUGGUAAGCAAUUGUAUUGGGCAUCAUUUGAAUUUCUUGUGUUUUCUUUCUGUUUUAUUACUGUUAUCAUAUACUUUACUUCAUUUCAAUUUUAAAUGGUUAUCUCAUCCCACGAUUUUUACUUACUCUACCAGGGCAUGGGGAAGUGAGCAAGUGGCUGAGUUGUACUUAGCUGCCAGUAGGGGUUAAACCACACAGCUUUCUCCUGCAAAUCAGCAGGGAGCAUCAGAAACAGGAUGUUACAAAUGGCUCUCCACUGGAUGACGAAGGGGCUUAAGACUGAGAGGAAGGUAGGGAGAUGAAAACUUUCAGUAAUGCCUACCUACCUCCUGCUGAGGAUUAAUCAAUGGAAGAAAAAGGGGAAGCUAAAGAAGUGGCAGGAACAGACUCUUUUAGCCAAGGCUGUGUAUAAAAUUCACGAAGGUGCUGAACCAAGUGACACCACAGUGACCUGUGACACCAACAGACAACUUCCACGUGGUAUCUCACUUCAUCAUCAUUUUGACAUUGUCUAAACCUAACACACGAAAAUCUGGGAAAGGCAUCCAUGAGCUCUUGUUGCCCCGAGAGUCAUUUACAGCAAAGCAGUACAGCAAUUAAGGCCUGUAAGCUUCACUACACAGCUAAAUACGAUUGUCAACUCCUAGCACCAAUGACUACAGCAUACAGCAGCUUUCCAAGUGCCCCAUUCGGUACUCAUCCAUAUCACAAGUAAUCCCAAUACUUCCCCCCAACAAGAACAGCCUUGCAGAAUCUGAGACAAUUAUUCUUAAAGUUAAUUAAAAAAAUAUCACAAGGAUACCUAA